CUCCAGAUAGCCUAGUGGUUUAGGCUAUGGAUCGUCAAUCCGGAGACGGCGGGUUCGUUUCCUUUUCUGGACG
rfam:Aedes albopictus isolate Foshan contig144965, whole genome shotgun sequence.